rnacentral:rRNA from 1 species
AAUAUUGGACAAUGGGCGCAAGCCUGAUCCACCCAUCCCGCGUGUGUGAAGACGGUCUUCGGAUUGUAUAGCACUUUAAUUUGGGAGGAAGGGCAGUGAGCGAAUACUUAGGUGUUUUGACUUUCGCAAAAGUAUAAGCAGCGGCUUACUUCGUGCCAGGAGCCGCAGUAAUACGAAGGGUGCAAGCGUUAAUCGGUAUUUCUGGGCGUAAAGUGCGCGGAAGUGGGUCGUUAAGGUUGAGAUGAAAGCCCCGGGCUCCAACUGGGAAUCGCUUUCAAAACUGGCGAGCUAGAGUACGGUAGAGGGCGGCGGAAUUUCCUGUGUAGCGGUGAAAUGCGUAUGUAUAGGAAGGAACAUCAGUGGCGAAGGCGACCACCUGGACUGAUACUGACACUGAGGUGAGAAAGCGUGGGGAGCAAACAGG